rnacentral:rRNA from 1 species
UACAGAGGGGGCAAGCGUUGUUCGGAAUUACUGGGCGUAAAGGGCGCGUAGGCGGCCUUCUAAGUCAGACGUGAAAUCCCUCGGCUCAACCGGGGAACUGCGUCUGAGACUGGAAGGCUUGAAUCCGGGAGAGGGAUGUGGAAUUCCAGGUGUAGCGGUGAAAUGCGUAGAUAUCUGGAGGAACACCGGUGGCGAAGGCGGCUUCCUGGACCGACACUGACGCUGAGGCGCGAAAGCUAGGGGAGCAAACGGG